UACGUAGGAGGCAAGCGUUGUCCGGAAUCACUGGGCGUAAAGCGCGUGUAGGUGGAAGAGGAAGUCUGCUGUGAAAGCGCCUGGCUUAACCGGGCGAGGUCGGUGGAAACUCCUCAUCUAGAGGUCGGUAGAGGGGGGUGGAAUUCCGGGUGUAGUGGUGAAAUGCGUAGAGAUCCGGAGGAACACCUGUGGCGAAGGCGGCCCCCUGGGCCGCACCUGACGCUGAGACGCGAAAGCGCGGGGAGCGAACGGG
rnacentral:rRNA from 1 species